rnacentral:rRNA from 1 species
AGAGUUUGAUCCUGGCUCACGACGAACGCUGGCGGCGUGCUUAACACAUGCAAGUCGAACGCGAAAGAGUUCUUCGGAACUUGAGUAGAGUGGCGCACGGGUGAGUAACGCGUAAGUGAUCUACCCCUGUAUCUGGAAUAACUAUGGGAAACUGUAGCUAAUACCGGAUACGUUCAUGUGAUUGCGAUCAUGUGAAGAAAGAUGGCCUCUGACAUAAGCUAUCGUACAGGGAGGAGCUUGCGUACCAUUAGCUAGUUGGCAGGGUAAAGGCCUACCAAGGCGACGAUGGUUAGCGGGUCUGAGAGGAUGAUCCGCCACACUGGAACUGAAACACGGACCAGACUCCUACGGGAGGCAGCAGUGAGGAAUAUUGCGCAAUGGGGGCAACCCUGACGCAGCGACGCCGCGUGGAUGAUGAAGGCCUUCGGGUCGUAAAAUCCUGUCGGAUGGAAAGAAGUGUGAUGUGGUUAAUACCCAUGUCAUUUGACGGUACCAUCAGAGGAAGCACCGGCUAACUCCGUGCCAGCAGCCGCGGUAAUACGGAGGGUGCAAGCGUUGUUCGGAAUUACUGGGCGUAAAGCGCGCGUAGUCGGCGCGAUCAGUCUGCCGUGAAAUCCCCGGGCUCAACCUGGGAAGGGCGGUGGAUACUGUCGACCUAGAGUAUUAGAGAGGGGGGUGGAAUUCCAGGUGUAGCGGUGAAAUGUGUAGAGACCUGGAGGAACACCAGUGGCGAAGGCGGCCCCCUGGUUCAACUCUGACGCUGAGGUACGAAAGCGUGGGUAGCAAACAGGAUUAGAUACCCUGGUAGUC